AACAUGUUGGGCAGGAACCUGUUUCAAUUGCUGGGGUUACAGGAGGAUCUCAGGAAUUGACUUUGCUGGAGGCUGAGGUGAGUCUGACUGGGAAAGAGUGGCAGAAACAUCCAAUUGUGACUGGCCCAGAGGCACCAUGU